UCCCUGGUGGCUUAGUCGGUAAAGAAUCUGCCUGCAAUGCGGGCGACCUGGGUUCAAUCCCUGGGUUGGGAA
rnacentral:tRNA from 1 species